rnacentral:tRNA from 1 species
AGUAAAAUGCCUGAAUAAAGGAUUAUCUUGAUAGGAUAAAUCAUGUAGUUAAUACUUUUACUA